UGGCCUCAAACUCAGAGCUCUGC
rnacentral:piRNA from 1 species